rnacentral:rRNA from 1 species
CAUACGCCCUGAGGGGGAAAGCGGGGGAUCGAAAGACCUCGCGCGAUUAGAGCGGCCGAUGCUUGAUUAGCUUGUUGGUGGGGUAAAAGCCCACCAAGGCGACGAUCAAUAGCUGGUCUGAGAGGACGAUCAGCCACACUGGGAAUGAGACACGGCCCAGACUCCUACGGGAGGCAGCAGUGGGGAAUUUUGGACAAUGGGGGCAACCCUGAUCCAGCAAUGCCGCGUGAGUGAAGAAGGCCUUCGGGUUGUAAAGCUCUUUUGUCAGGGAAGAAACACCGGCUUUAACACAGUCCGGGAAUGACGGUACCUGAAGAAUAAGCUCCGUG